GGCCUCGUAGCUCAGCUGGUAGAGCGCUCGUGGCACGAAAGUGAGGGUGGCAAUCAUGAGUGGGUUCGAGUCCCACCGAGGCCA
rnacentral:tRNA from 1 species